UACGAAGGGGGCUAGCGUUACUCGGAAUUACUGGGCGUAAAGCGUGCGUAGGCGGUCUGUUAAGUCCGUUGUGAAAGCCCUGGGCUCAACCUGGGAAUUGCAGUGGAUACUGGCGGGCUAGAGUGCGGUAGAGGAUGGUGGAAUUCCCGGUGUAGCGGUGAAAUGCGUAGAGAUCGGGAGGAACACCCGUGGCGAAGGCGGCCAUCUGGACCAGCACUGACGCUGAGGCACGGAAAGCGUGGGGAGCGAUCCGG
rnacentral:rRNA from 1 species